rnacentral:lncRNA from 1 species
GUUCAGUUUAAGAGCUUGUUGAGAGGAGGUUUAGAUUAACAGCUUGUUGAGAGGAGGUUCAGAUUAACAGCUUGUUGAGAGAAGGUUCAGAUUAAGAGCUGGUUGAAAGCUUGAUUAGAUGAAGAGCUGGUUGAAAGCUGGAUCAGAUUUAGAGCUGGUUGAAAGCUGGAUCAGAUGAAGAGCUGGUUAAAAGCAGGAUCAGAUGGAGAGCUGGUUGAAAGCUGGAUCAGAUGAAGAGCUAGUUGAGAGGAGGUUCAGAUGAAGAGCUGGUUGAAAGCUGGAUCAGAUGAAGUGCUGGAUCAGAUGAAGAGCUAGUUGAAAGCUGGAUCAGAUGAAGAGCUAGUUGAAAGCUGGAUCAGAUGAAAAGCUGGUUGAAAGCUGGAUCAGAUGAAGUGCUGGUUGAAAGCUGGAUCAGAUGAAGUGCUGGUUGAAAGCUGGAUCAGAUGAAGAGCUAGUUGAAAGCUGGAUCAGAUGAAGUGCUGGUUGAAAGCUGGAUCAGAUGGAGAGCUGGUUGAAAGCUGGAUCAGAUGAAAUGCUGGUUGAAAGCUGGAUCAGAUGGAGAGCUGGUUGAAAGCUUGAUCAGAUGGAGAGCUGGUUGAAAGCUGGAUCAGAUGAAGUGCUGGUUGAAAGCAGGAUUAGAUGAAGAACUGGUUGAGAGGAGGUUCAGAUUAAAAGCUGGUUGAGAGGAGGUUCAGAUUAAGAGCUGACCCAUUUGAUGCAAUUAUGCUAUUACAGUGUAACCUGUCAUUGAACAUGUGAUGCAAAUACAUUAUCAUUGUUAUCAUGAUGUAAAAAUGCAAAUAUGCAGAGCUACAGAUAACUUUUUGGGUCAUUGAGUUAUGUACUUGCUUGUGUUCAUCUCACUUGGGUAUCCUAAGUUUCAUUUGAGUAA